rnacentral:rRNA from 1 species
AGCGAACGCUGGCGGCAGGCCUAACACAUGCAAGUCGAACGAACCCUUCGGGGUUAGCGGCGGACGGGUGAGUAACACGUGGGAACGUGCCUUUAGGUUCGGAAUAACUCAGGGAAACUUGUGCUAAUACCGAAUGUGCCCUUCGGGGGAAAGAUUUAUCGCCUUUAGAGCGGCCCGCGUCUGAUUAGCUAGGUGGUGAGGUAAUGGCUCACCAAGGCUACGAUCAGUAGCUGGUCUGAGAGGAUGACCAGCCACAUUGGGACUGAGACACGGCCCAAACUCCUACGGGAGGCAGCAGUGGGGAAUCUUGCGCAAUGGGCGAAAGCCUGACGCAGCCAUGCCGCGUGGAUGAUGAAGGUCUUAGGAUUGUAAAAUCCUUUCACCGGUGAAGAUAAUGACUGUAGCCGGAGAAGAAGCCCCGGCUAACUUCGUGCCAGCCGCCGCAGUAACAC